rnacentral:tRNA from 1 species
GCCUCGGUGCUGGAAUUGGUAUACAGGGCGGACUUAAAAUCCGCUGGUCUUAGACCUUGAGGGUUCGAGUCCCUCCCGAGGCA